ACUGUUAGCAGCAUAGGAUUGAGGAGUUGGAAGAGACCUUUAGAACAGCUGGUCCUUAUGUCAACCGGGUGCCUGCACUAAGUUCUGCAUCAAUAUGGUGACCUCCUGGGAGUGGAGGGCCAUCAAGUUGCCUAAGGAUGGCUGAACUGGCCCAGGUCAGAAAGGGAGCAGGUCAGAACUCCCG
rnacentral:sRNA from 1 species